ensembl:lncRNA
AUGGAUAGAGGACAACUGUUUAGAAUCUACUUUGCUUAUCCACAAAGCCACCAAGGUCUCUCAGCCAAAUUUCAGAAGCCCCCCUCAAGGGUCCUUCAGCUUGGGACAGAAGUUAAUAAUAUUAGUUCUCAGCUUCUUCUCCCUUCAGCCAGGUUUAGUCAGAAAAAUCCAAAGAGCCAAAGUCUCCUGGUCAGUCAACCCCCUGAGAGAGAAACAGCAUCAGAAGUCCCAGUUUCUCCCGUGGUCAGCUUCAACUGCCUCCUCCUCCUGCUCUCUCUCUCUCUCUCUCUCUCUCUCUUUCUCUCUCUCUCUCUCUCUCUCUCUCUCUCUCUCUCUCUCUCUCUCUCUCUCUCUCUCUCUCUCUCUCUCUCCCCCUACAAACGCAGUUAUAAAUCACAUGGUCUAAUGAAGCCUGCCCUCAGGCAAAACUGGAAAGUGAAGCCACUUUGUCUAUGGUGCUCCUUUUCUCUCCUCAACAGCAUACUAUUAUCUUUUCUUUAAGAUCCAUGAAACUCCCAGUAGCCUCAUUCUUCACCCUAUCUCCAACUCAUCAAAAUCUUCUCUCAGAAAAGGACUAGACCUCACUGUGACAAUGUCUAAAAUGAUUAACAUAUUAUCUAAUGAAGUGGUGCUAGCAUUUUUAAAGGAAGUAAAAAUUCAGCAAAAAGAAUGAAUCUCUAUAAGUUGAAUUUUAAGUUUCAGUGAGUAUGAACCAUGACUCAACAUGAGACAAUGAAAGAAAAUAGCUGGUAUGAUGGGACUGAUUGCUGGUUUUAGAGUCAAGGAGAGCUAAGCUUGGAUGCUCCCUCAUGUACUUACUAAUCGUAUGAUCCUAAACAAAUGACAAUCUCUCAUGUUUGGUUCCCUCAUUUGUAAAAUGAGAGUAAUAUUAAUACCUAUUUCAUGGUGUUGUGAGGAGGAUCAAAUGAGCCUAAAAGCAGUUAGCUAUUAUUAUCAUUAUUGUUCAUUGGAGUCAAUAGCAAAGAACAAAGAAAGGAGUGUAGGAUCUAUGGCUUCUAGGGAAUUGAUUGGCUCUAGGGUUUGUCUGUUCUACUCAAUUUACCCAACCAGUUGAGAGUAAUGGUAAUGCUUCAAAGCAUUGGAUGUAUGGAAUGAUUUUUCUUUUAAGUUUUAGAAUAGAGAGGUCACGUGUCUGGACCCAGGACCCAAAGAACGUGGUAGAUUCCCCUGCAUGAACUUGCAUUCAAAAGAUUAGGUAGUCAGAGAAGGUUCAAAAAGGUAUUCCUCAGGUUUUUAUUUCUGACAUCAUAGAGGUCACAAACCCCUAUCAGUGAACUUACAUUGAACAGUCAUCCAUUAGAAACAAUUAGCUCAAAGUGAAAGCAUUGAUUCAGAUAACAUAGUAAUGACAAUAGCUACAAAACAUCCCCUACAUAAACCUGGACCACACACCUUUCUUUUUUUGUUGUAGUUCUUUAUCUCCCUCUCCCCCCACCCCAUCCAGUAGCCAAGGUGUAAUUCCACUGGGUUUUACAUGUGUUAUUGAUCAAAACCUAUUUCCAUAUUAUUGAUGUUUGCACCAGAGUCUAUAUCCCCAAUCAUGUCCCCAUUGACCCAUGUGACCAAGACAUUUUUCUUCUGGGUUUCUGCUCCCACAGUUCUUCCUCUGAAUGUGGAUAGUGUUCUUUCUCAUAAGUCCCUCAGAAUUGUCCUGGAUCAUUGCAUUGCUGCUAAUAGAGAAGUCUAUUACAUUUGAUUGUACCACAGUGUAUCAGUCUUUGUGUAUAAUGUUCUCCUGGAUCUUCUCCUCUCACUCUGCAUCAAUUCCUGGAGGUUGUUCCAUUUCACAUGGAAUUCCUCCAGUUCAUUAUUCUUUUGAGCACAAUAGUAUUCCAUCACCAACAGAUACCACAAUUUGUUCAGCCAUUCCCCAAUUGAAGGGUAUCCCCUCAUUUUCCAAUUUUUUGCCACCACAAAGAGCGCAGCUAUGAAUAUUCUUGUACAAGUUUUUUUUUUUUCCCUUAUUAUCUCUUUGGGGUAUAAACCCAGCAGAGCUAUGGUUGGAUCAAAGAGCAAACAGUCUUUUAGCACCCUUUGGGCAUGACCACACACUUUCUACAACCAGCGCCAAUGGAAAGAAAAUACAGAGUACACACAGUGAUAGUCAUACAUGUAGGGAAUAUAUUUGGCCACACCCUUGCUACUGUCCCUCUUCUGCUUCUACUGCUAAUUUCCCUUGUUUCUUUUAAUUUUCCUAUUAAAAUCCCACCUUCUACAGAAAACCUUCUCCAACUCCUAAUCUCAGUAUCUUCCUUCUGUUCAUUAUUUCCUAUUUAUCCUUUAUUUAGCUUGCUUUAUAUUUGUUUUUGUUAUCUCCUCCCCCUCCCCUUAGACUGUGGGCUUCUUAAGAGAAGGGAUGGUCUUUUGCCUCUUUUUGUUUCUAUAGCGCUUCACAUGGUACCUGGCUCAUAGUGGAUACUCCAUAAAUGUUUAUUGAUUUAUUUAUUAUUGCAGGUACAUGGUUAUCAUUUCUUUGCUUUGAUGUCCUCAGGCUAGCCCUCUCCAGCUACAGAGCCUCUUUUGGUUGGGUCAUUCUGUUAGGAUACCUAGACCUGUUCCCCUCCAUAGAUCAACUCUCAACUACUAAGACUCAUUUCUUAUCUCUGGCAUCUGUGCAGAUGGCUCUUUUCUAUUCUUUCAGAGGCCAUGCUUUUUUGAAGCUGCUUCUUCCCCCCCAAUGGCUAGCAUUAUAUCUGUAAUCCUAAUCUUAUAGAGAUCACAAGCCUCUGUCAUCCAACAGAAAUUAUUACAUCAAAAGCAAAGACAUUUUUGUUCCCCUAACUCAAGCAGCUAAAUGGUACAGGGAAUAAAUCAGCAGACUUGGAAUUGGACUCA